rnacentral:lncRNA from 1 species
CCUCAUCACUUCUUUUAUUGUCCUUUCAGGAUUCAUCAGGAAUCCAGAUUCUAUCUAGGCUAACUGUCUUUCUACUGAGAGCCAUGAUCCCACUUAGUAUGGGAAUAGAGUGUAUUGUUCCAUCAGGCAAAGUGUUGCCGUCAAAUAAAAAGAAAAUAAUAGCUAAGAGUGCCUGGUAAUUCUCACUUAGAUUCCUUGGUUCUUUAAUGGCUCAGCUUAAGCACCAAGAGUACACUACCAAAUGUUUCUUCAUUCCUCAACUUCUUCCCUAGUAACUUCUUUCCUAGAAUUACCCUGUAUUUGUUUUUUAGUUCAUCUUAGCAUAUAUACAUUAUUUUUUGUUUAGUGGUAUCAAAUGCAAAUGGAAAUGGAAACCAUGAAACAGUACAUUAGAAUCUGUAGACAUCAUGUUGACUUAGAGAAUCCUCUAGCCAUAUUACCUAUAUUUCAUUUUUUAUAUUCAGUUAACUAGUUACCAAUUACAUUUUAAUCUUGUCUACCAUGCCACUCUUUGGUGCGUGGCACUGUUUCACACCUCUGGACUAAGCCAUGUUAUUCCCCUUGAGGGCAGGAACUGGUUGCACUAAUAAAUAUUUGUUGGUUGACUGGAUUGAUAGGUACAAUUGGGUACAUCCUUUUUGUUGCUAGGGAAGCUUGUUAUGAAACGUAGGGAAUGAAAUUACAUAAGUCUCAACUGAAAGAAAAAGAAGUCUGCAUAUCAAAUGUAAUGAAGGUAGUAAAAUGGAAAGACAAGGUAGAUCUGGGCUGAGGUAUCUGUCAAUUUUUGCUGGUGCUUUUUGAGUGCUGGCUAACAAUUAUAAGUUUUAAAGCAAAUGAAAAGUUUAUUCAGGAUAAAGAAUCUGUUGUUUCCUCAUAGGGCCAAACACUCAGCCAAUAAAAGAUGAUUACAUCACAGAGCACUUAUGAUAUGUCACAUCACCAAGGUAACAGGAGGGAUGGUGAUAAACAAAGGGUGGAGCCUGGGGAGAUCAUUUCUGAAAAGAAAAAGAUGAGUGAUAAAGUAGAGAACAAGGAAUACAAGAUGAAAGCAUGUGAUAGCUCUAUUGUGAAUUGACUGUAUGUUCAUCAAAUGAGAGAACAAAUGGAGCACUUUCAAAAUCAGAAGAAGCAAAGCAAUAAAGAAGUACUGAAUUUUCUGGUGAUAAACUAA